rnacentral:lncRNA from 1 species
GAACAAUUUGGAAAAAAAAAAAUCAGACAUGCAAAGCACUUUUUAAAAAAGCAAUCUCCCAUUUUAAAAAGUAGUAAUCUCAGUAGAGCAAAGAGCAGGGUGACGGGGCUAAAUCCUUCAAGGAAAAGGGAGCAAGAGGGGAGUGUGUCUCGGGCCGUUCACACCAGGGCGCAGCUCUGGCCUGUCCGUGCGCGCGUGUGGCUGUGUGCCCGCGUGUGUGCACAAGCGUGUGCGCGCGCAGGCACGGGGCCUCCGGGGGCCUUCGGGUGCUCGGGACCCCGGGCUUUCCGCGGGCGGGGGCGCAACCCGGCGGGGCUGCGGGCUGACCCGGGCCGUGCGCAAAGGCGUGCAGCGCUGCUCUUUGUGUGUCGGUUGCUGCUCGGCAGCUGCUUCUGGCGCGUUGGUUGCUGCUCGGCGGCCGCUCUGUGUCGGUUGCAGCUCGGCGGCUGCUCUUUGCGCAUCGGUUGCUGCUCGGCGGCCGCUCCUUGCGUGCAGGUUGCGGCUCGGCGGCUCGGCGGCGCUGCACCUCCUCCCGCCGCGCUCGGGACGGGCUCCUGCCCCGGAGGCGGCUGCGCCCGGCGGCCCCGUUCCCUCAGAUGCCCUCCGCCGCAGGUUUAUGGUUACAGUAGGGCCGCCGCCUGUCCCCGCCCGGCGGGCCGUGCAGCGCCCGGGCCGCCCUCCCGCCUGGCGCGCCCCCAAACCGCCCGCUCCGCCUCCUUAUUUGUCUGCAAAGCCACCGCACGUCGAGGCGGAGAAGCCCGCGGGGGCGGGAGAGGCGGGGCCGGGGUGCGCCCAGGGCGGGGCGGGGCGGCGGUGCGGGCCCCGGGUCCCCCCGGGCAGGCGGGCGCAGUGGGGGCGGCAGGAGCACGGGGGGCGCGGGGCGCGGGGUGCGGGGUGCGCGCCGCCGGUUCCCGCCGAGUAAGCAGUCUGGCCCCACGGCCACACCGUGGCUGGAGGCUCUUGCUGGCGCCGCGCCCGCCCCACAGAAUUAGCUCAUUGUUCACCGGCACCCUGGCGGCGGCGGCGGAGGGAGGAGGGAGGAGGGGGGAGGGGAAGGGAGGGAGAGACUCAGAGAGGAGACACACGCUCCGGGAGAGCGCGAGGCAGGGAGACCCUCCCCCCCUCCUCCUUCCACGGCCGCACUUCUUGGAAGUGGAGCCGGUUUGGGUUUUGUCUCCCUCCCCUCCCCUCGCCUCUCCCUCCGCCCCUCCCCUCCCCUCCCCGCCCCCUCCCUUCCCCCUCCCCCUCCCCCCGCCGUCUUUCUAG